rnacentral:lncRNA from 1 species
CGCUGGUGUGCUGGUUGAGCGGGAUGAUCUCCAUGCGCUGCUGGCCAUACAGGUAAUAGUCCAGCUCCUCUGCGCUGCAGCGGAAGCGCGGGGCGCCGCGACCCUCCCCGCCGCCGCCGCCACCACCACCGCACUUGACGGGCCCGGGGCCGGAGGUGGCGCCGAGGCACAGUUCCUUGGGGGGCAGCGGCUCGGCGGCGACGGCAGCGGCGGCUAGAGGCGCGAACACCGGCAGCUGCGACACCGGCAGGGCCGAGAGACCAGCCAGCGCGGCGGCAGCGGCCGCAGCAGCGCAGGAGGAGGCGGAGGAGGCGGAGGUGGAAGAGGAAGCCGGCGUGGACGAGGCGGAGGAGAGAGAGGCGGGCCGCGGGCGCAGGCUGUCCGGCGGAGGCUCAGCGCGCUCCGGGGGCGGGGGCGGCGGCGGCGGCUGAAGAGGCUGCGGCGCGCUCAGGAGACCCGCGGCGCCGCUGCCCUUGAGCGGGCCUGCGCCUCCGUGAGGGAAGAGUUGCUGCCAGUGCUGCAGUUUUCUGAACCUGGGAAACGUGCUGUUCAGACUUCAUCCGGGUCUCAUUCAGGAUGCUUCGAUGUUGGUUGGAAGAGAGUUAGACCGAAAAUGUUUUGACUGGCGUCGUUAUGACAAGGUCAUCCGUCAUUGUUGGAUAGAUUGAUAGCACCCAAGUUUAAGGCAGACACCACGAGGGAAAGCCCACGGCGCUGUGGUCCCGGAGGCUAACCAGGCAGUGUCCGCAGACCUCCAGCAACUCCAUCGGGAGGAGAGGAUGAAGUUCCAGGCCCGUUUCAAUUAAUCUGCUCGCAGAACUGCCGAAGAGUGGCUUGUCGGGCCACGGGAGAAGAAACAAAUGCUCUUUCUCACACUCUCCUGGUUCAUUGCUGAGAAACCAGGACACUCCUCUGUUCCCUGGGAGAGACAGUGAACUCCAGGGAUGGAAGUCCGGACUCCGGCGGCGGUCCCGUCAUUUGCCUUCUUGUUUCUGCCCAAACCCAGCUAGUUCCAAGCGCUUGGUCCCCAAGACUGGAAGUCCCCAAGAACCUACCUCUACCUGUCCCAACCCUGCCUCCCCCCUACCCUUUCACCCCCUGCCACCAUUAGAAAGUCUCUGGAUUUUGAAAUGCUAGUUGCAGCAGCUGCUUCCGUGGCCUCAUGCCGCCCACACUCUGGGAAGCGGAGGAGGGAGGGUUCCUCUCGUAAUAAGAUUAGCUGACCUGUUAAUGAGAGUUUUGGACGUGCCGGGCGGGGGUAGGCGCUUUAUGUCCAUUUAAUCCACCUACAUGCGGAGAAGGCAUUAUCAUUAACCCCCAUAUUGUAGAUGGGGACCGCUGAGGUUCGGAAAGUUUAGAUGGGUUGCCUAAGGUCACGCCAUUAAUGAGUAAUGGAGACGGAUUCAAAUACCGUUCGGUAAGGUGCCAAGUGCAUCUUCUGCCUACCCUAGUCCAACCUGUAGCCACUCGGUCCAGACUGACGCCAGAGGGGCUAUCAUGGGAGAGAUUUGGUUCCCCUCGCUGCGGGGUCCAGGGAAGAAGCUGAGAAGGUAGCAAAGUCCCCCUCGCCCACUACGUCUACAGGUGGCGUACCUGGGUAAUCCGAUUCAAGCUUCCGCCACACCCACCCCGGGCACAAGUCGAUCCCGAGGCUUACGGGACCCUAAGGCCCAGAGGCUACAGGAACCUCCCGUGAAGGGGGCAGGAGAAAGUUUGAGGGAGAGCCCUGAAGGUCCGGGAGCGAACGAAAAAGUCUGGAAGGGAAUAGACCAGGAGUCAGGACCUCCCCUGCACCUCCCCAGCAGGCCCACUGCGCCGAGCGGGGCCCCUGCCUCCACCGCGGCUUCCGGGAUGCCCGCAGAGCUCGGCAUCCUCACCCGGUGCGCACAAGGGCGCGCAGCGGCGUAAGCUGGACCCCCGACGCUGCGCGCGCUCUGAGGGGCGCUUCCCCCUCACACAGUUGACCCUGGGCCCGCUUGGUCACGGCCACCCUGGCGCAUCUCAAUAGUUUUUAGAAAGUGAGCCCACCGACGGCAAGGACAUGCACCCCCUCAAAUCCGCUUCCCCCACCCCCUUCAAUACUGAGAAGACCACGGAAACAAAUCACUUCGACCACUUAGAAAGCGAUCAAACCUUUAUAAAAAUCCAUCGCUCCCAAAUCGAUGGGUGAAUAUUUGCUGGGAAUUUGUUCCAGAGGAAUAAAUGAGGAGCCUUGAGUGUAUUAAAUGCAAACGGGGGGACACGGUGGUGUUUUUCUUCAUUGAUUAAUGACCUCUAAAAUAAAACAAGUGGGAAGAGGAGCCAGGAUCGAUAAAUUACCCAAAUUCAUCAUUUUCUCGAGCAUUUUCGCCCCGAAAAUUAUCCUUGGGAAGCCCAUUGUACCCUGAGCUGGGAGGGGAAGGAUGUAGCUGGAGGCCAGGGUAGGGAGGGAGCAGCAGAAGGGGUAGGAGGAGAGAAGGGGGUUCUGUCCAGGAGACCCUCUAUCUGAUUCCGUUUAACAUACAAUUCAAAAGUUUGCCUUUCAUAUUAUUUUUUCUUGAUGGGGGAGUGGAACAAAUGGUCGGUUGCCUUUGACAGGACUCCAAUAAAGGAUUCAGCAGCUCUCCGCUCUGCCCUGGGUGCUCCUGCUUCUAGUAGGUUUAAGGUCACGGGUGGCUGAGUUAAUAAUUCAUUAAUAUAGACAUUUAUUCAGAAGGGUUCGCUGAGAUCCACUCUUCCUGCCUCCUCCCAGAGAUUUGUUUUCCUAGGAAAUGGAUGGGGGUGGGGGGUGGGCUGCAGGUGAAAGGAGGGGGGCGGGAGGAGAAGGAAAGGCUGGAUGUAGCUAGGAGGAAUCUUUGCUGAGCCGUAUUAGCAGACAGGUCCCUUGAGCCUGCCAGCAAAAACU